UAGGAAAAAUAAUAUUACAGGAAUGCCAUUACUAUUUAAUUCCAGCAUGGCAAAA
rnacentral:sRNA from 1 species